UGGGGAAUUUUGCACAAUGGGGGAAACCCUGAUGCAGCGACGCCGCGUGAUUUAGAAGGCCUUCGGGUUGUAAAAAUCUUUUGUAUGGGAAGAAAAUGACAGUACCAUAAGAAAAAGCCCCGGCUAACUACGUGCCAGCAGCCGCGGUAAUACGUAGGGGGCUAGCGUUGUCCGGAAUCACUGGGCGUAAAGGGUUCGCAGGCGGAAAUGCAAGUCAGGUGUAAAAGGCAGUAGCUUAACUACUGUAAGCAUUUGAAACUGCAUAUCCUGAGAAGAGUAGAGGUAAGUGGAAUUUUUAGUGUAGCGAUGAAAUGCGUAGAUAUUAAAAAGAAUACCGGUGGCGAAGGCGACUUACUGGGCUCAUUCUGACGCUGAGGAACGAAAGCGUGGGUAGCAAACAGG
rnacentral:rRNA from 1 species